CGAUAGUGAACAAGUACCGUGAGGGAAAGGUGAAAAGCACCCCGACGAGGGGAGUGAAAUAGACCCUGAAACCGAAUGCCUACAAUCAGUGGGAGGGGCCUUGUGCCCUGACCGCGUACCUUUUGCAUAAUGGGUCAGCGAGUUAGUCUUACGAGCAAGCUUAAGCCGGUGAGGUGUAGGCGCAGCGAAAGCGAGUCUGAACAGGGCGUUCAGUUCGUAGGAUUAGACCCGAAAC
rnacentral:rRNA from 14 species